GUGAGGAAUAUUGGGCAAUGGGCGAAAGCCUGACCCAGCCACGCCGCGUGAGUGAUGAAGGCCUUCGGGUUGUAAAGCUCUGUGGGGAGGGAAGAAAAAGCGGGAGAGUAACUGCUCUCGUGUUGACGGUACCUCCUUAGCAAGCACCGGCUAACUCUGUGCCAGCAGCCGCGGUAAUACAGAGGGUGCAAACGUUGCUCGGAAUUACUGGGCGUAAAGCGCGUGUAGGCUGACAUGCAAGUCGGGUGUGAAAUCCCAGGGCUCAACCUUGGAACUGCACUCGAAACUGCACGUCUUGAGUACUGGAGAGGGAAGCGGAAUUCCGGGUGUAGAGGUGAAAUUCGUAGAUAUCCGGAGGAACACCAGUGGCGAAGGCGGCUUCCUGGACAGUAACUGACGCUGAGACGCGAAAGCGUGGGGAGCAAACAGGAUUAGAAACCCCUGUAGUCC
rnacentral:rRNA from 1 species